rnacentral:rRNA from 1 species
GUGGCGACGGGUGAGUAACACGUGGGCAAUCUGCCCUUCACUCUGGGACAAGCCCUGGAAACGGGGUCUAAUACCGGAUAACACUCUGUCCUGCAUGGGACGGGGUUAAAAGCUCCGGCGGUGAAGGAUGAGCCCGCGGCCUAUCAGCUUGUUGGUGGGGUAAUGGCCUACCAAGGCGACGACGGGUAGCCGGCCUGAGAGGGCGACCGGCCACACUGGGACUGAGACACGGCCCAGACUCCUACGGGAGGCAGCAGUGGGGAAUAUUGCACAAUGGGCGAAAGCCUGAUGCAGCGACGCCGCGUGAGGGAUGACGGCCUUCGGGUUGUAAACCUCUUUCAGCAGGGAAGAAGCGCAAGUGACGGUACCUGCAGAAGAAGCACCGGCUAACUACGUGCCAGCAGCCGCGGUAAUACGUAGGGUGCGAGCGUUGUCCGGAAUUAUUGGGCGUAAAGAGCUCGUAGGCGGCUUGUCACGUCGGAUGUGAAAGCUCGGGGCUUAACUCCGAGUCUGCAUUCGAUACGGGCUAGCUAGAGUGUGGUAGGGGAGAUCGGAAUUCCUGGUGUAGCGGUGAAAUGCGCAGAUAUCAGGAGGAACACCGGUGGCGAAGGCGGAUCUCUGGGCCAUUACUGACGCUGAGGAGCGAAAGCGUGGGGAGCGAACAGGAUUAGAUACCCUGGUAGUCCACGCCGUAAACGUUGGGAACUAGGUGUUGGCGACAUUCCACGUCGUCGGUGCCGCAGCUAACGCAUUAAGUUCCCCGCCCUGGGGAGUACGGCCGCAAGGCUAAAACUCAAAGGAAUUGACGG